GGGGCCUACGGGACGCAGCAGUGGGGAAUAUUGCACAAUGGGGGAAACCCUGAUGCAGCGACGCCGCGUGAAGGAAGAAGUAUUUCGGUAUGUAAACUUCUAUCAGCAGGGAAGAAAAUGACGGUACCUGACUAAGAGGCCCCGGCUAACUACGUGCCAGCAGCCGCGGUAAUACGUAGGGGGCAAGCGUUAUCCGGAUUUACUGGGUGUAAAGGGAGCGUAGACGGCAGCGCAAGUCUGGAGUGAAAUGCCGGGGCUCAACCCCGGAACAGCUUUGGAAACUGAGCAGCUAGAGUGCGGGAGAG
rnacentral:rRNA from 1 species